UAAUACCAGGGUCAAAAGGUCAUGUGUUUCAUGCUUGCAUGAAAAAGCAUGACUUUGAGACCCGCAAAAACAUGAGAAAGUAGCCCGACAGGGCGGAUUUCGAAUGUUUUUUAGGAUUGUGAGAGCACGAAGUGCGAAACAAUCCGCAGGUAUUA
rnacentral:sRNA from 1 species